UACGUAGGGUGCGAGCGUUGUCCGGAAUUAUUGGGCGUAAAGGGCUCGUAGGCGGUUUGUCGCGUCGGGAGUGAAAACCUCGGGCUUAACUCGGGGCUUGCUUUCGAUACGGGCAGACUAGAGGUAUGCAGGGGAGAACGGAAUUCCUGGUGUAGCGGUGAAGUGCGCAGAUAUCAGGAGGAACACCGGUGGCGAAGGCGGUUCUCUGGGCAUUACCUGACGCUGAGGAGCGAAAGUGUGGGGAGCGAACAGG
rnacentral:rRNA from 1 species